CCUACGGGUGACAGCAGUGGGGAAUAUUGCACAAUGGGGGAAACCCUGAUGCAGCGACGCCGCGUGAGUGAAGAAGUAAUUCGGUAUGUAAAGCUCUAUCAGCAGGGAAGAAAAUGACGGUACCUGAGUAAGAAGCCCCGGCUAACUACGUGCCAGCAGCCGCGGUAAUACGUAGGGGGCAAGCGUUAUCCGGAUUUACUGGGGGUAAAGGGAGCGUAGACGGCAGUGCAAGUCUGGAGUGAAAGGCGGGGGCUCAACCCCCGGACUGCUCUGGAAACUGUACGGCUGGAGUGCAGGAGAGGUAAGUGGAAUUCCUAGUGUAGCGGUGAAAUGCGUAGAUAUUAGGAGGAACACCAGUGGCGAAGGCGGCUUACUGGACUGUAACUGACGUUGAGGCUCGAAAGCGUGGGGAGCAAACAGGAUUAGAUACCCGUGUAGUC
rnacentral:rRNA from 1 species